rnacentral:tRNA from 1 species
GGAGAGGUGGCCGAGUGGUCGAAGGCGGUUGAUUCGAAAUCAAUUGUACCUCACGGUACCGGGGGUUCGACUCCCUCCCUCUCCGCCA